UUUAUUGGAGAGUUUGAUCCUGGCUCAGGAUGAACGCUGGCGGCGUGCCUAAUACAUGCAAGUCGAGCGAAUGGAUUAAGAGCUUGCUCUUAUGAAGUUAGCGG
rnacentral:rRNA from 3 species